rnacentral:rRNA from 1 species
CGGACGGGUGAGUAAUGUAUGGGGAUCUGCCCGAUGGAGGGGGAUAACUACUGGAAACGGUAGCUAAUACCGCAUAACGUCGCAAGACCAAAGAGGGGACCUUCGGGCCUCUUGCCAUCGGAUGUGCCCAGAUGGGAUUAGCUAGUAGGUGGGGUAACGGCUCACCUAGGCGACGAUCCCUAGCUGGUCUGAGAGGAUGACCAGCCACACUGGAACUGAGACACGGUCCAG